rnacentral:rRNA from 2 species
UCAAGCGAACAAGUGCAUGUGGUGGAUGCCUUGGCGAUCACAGGCGAUGAAGGACGCGGUAGCCUGCGAAAAGCCCCGGGGAGCUGGCAAACAAGCUUUGAUCCGGGGAUGUCCGAAUGGGGAAACCCACUCCGUAUGGAGUAUCCAUGACUGAAUACAUAGGUCAUGUGAAGCGAACGCGGUGAACUGAAACAUCUAAGUAACCGCAGGAAAAGAAAUCAACCGAGAUUCCCAAAGUAGUGGCGAGCGAAAUGGGAUGAGCCUUGUACUCUUUAUUCGUAUUGUUAGCCGAACGCUCUGGAAAGUGCGGCCAUAGCAGGUGAUAGCCCUGUAGGCGAAAACAGUAUGAAAGAACUAGGUGUACGACAAGUAGGGCGGGACACGUGAAAUCCUGUCUGAAGAUGGGGGGACCAUCCUCCAAGGCUAAAUACUCGUGAUCGACCGAUAGUGAACCAGUACCGUGAGGGAAAGGCGAAAAGAACCCCGGGAGGGGAGUGAAAUAGAUCCUGAAACCGCAUGCAUACAAACAGUCGGAGCCUCGUAAGGGGUGACGGCGUACCUUUUGUAUAAUGGGUCAGCGACUUACGUUCAGUAGCAAGCUUAACCGUAUAGGGCAGGCGUAGCGAAAGCGAGUCCGAAUAGGGCGUUCAGUUGCUGGGCGUAGACCCGAAACCAGGUGAUCUAUCCAUGGCCAGGAUGAAGGUGCGGUAACACGUACUGGAGGUCCGAACCCACUAACGUUGAAAAGUUAGGGGAUGAGCUGUGGAUAGGGGUGAAAGGCUAAACAAACCUGGAAAUAGCUGGUUCUCUCCGAAAACUAUUUAGGUAGUGCCUCGUGUCUCACCUUCGGGGGUAGAGCACUGUCAUGGUUGGGGGGUCUAUUGCAGAUUACCCCGCCAUAGCAAACUCCGAAUACCGAAGAGUGCAAUCACGGGAGACAGACAUCGGGUGCUAACGUCCGGUGUCAAGAGGGAAACAACCCAGACCGCCAGCUAAGGUCCCCAAAUAUGGCUAAGUGGGAAACGAAGUGGGAAGGCUAAAACAGUCAGGAGGUUGGCUUAGAAGCAGCCACCCUUUAAAGAAAGCGUAAUAGCUCACUGAUCGAGUCGUCCUGCGCGGAAGAUGUAACGGGGCUAAGCCAUAUACCGAAGCUGCGGAUGCGUGCUUGCACGCAUGGUAGGAGAGCGUUCCGUAAGCCUGCGAAGGUGCCUUGUAAAGGGUGCUGGAGGUAUCGGAAGUGCGAAUGCUGACAUGAGUAGCGAUAAAGGGGGUGAAAGGCCCCCUCGCCGUAAGCCCAAGGUUUCCUACGCAACGUUCAUCGGCGUAGGGUGAGUCGGCCCCUAAGGCGAGGCAGAAAUGCGUAGCUGAUGGGAAGCAGGUCAAUAUUCCUGCACCGUCGUUAGAUGCGAUGGGGGGACGGAUCGCGGAAGGUUGUCCGGGUGUUGGACGUCCCGGUCGCUGCAUUGGAGAAGGCGCUUAGGCAAAUCCGGGCGCAGGAUUCAAGGGUGUGGCGCGAGCGACUUCGGUCGCGAAGCAAUUGGAAGUGGUUCCAAGAAAAGCCUCUAAGCUUCAGUCUAACGAUGACCGUACCGCAAACCGACACAGGUGGGCGAGAUGAGUAUUCUAAGGCGCUUGAGAGAACUCGGGAGAAGGAACUCGGCAAAUUGGUACCGUAACUUCGGGAUAAGGUACGCCCUUGUAGCUUGACCAGCCUGCGCUGGAAGGGUGAAGGGGUUGCAAUAAACUGGUGGCUGCGACUGUUUAAUAAAAACACAGCACUCUGCAAACACGAAAGUGGACGUAUAGGGUGUGACGCCUGCCCGGUGCCGGAAGAUUAAAUGAUGGGGUGCAAGCUCUUGAUUGAAGUCCCGGUAAACGGCGGCCGUAACUAUAACGGUCCUAAGGUAGCGAAAUUCCUUGUCGGGUAAGUUCCGACCUGCACGAAUGGCGUAACGAUGGCCACACUGUCUCCUCCCGAGACUCAGCGAAGUUGAAGUGUUUGUGAUGAUGCAAUCUACCCGCGGCUAGACGGAAAGACCCCAUGAACCUUUACUGUAGCUUUGCAUUGGACUUUGAACCGAUCUGUGUAGGAUAGGUGGGAGGCUAUGAAACCGGAACGCUAGUUUCGGUGGAGCCGUCCUUGAAAUACCACCCUGGUUUGUUUGAGGUUCUAACCUUGGUCCGUGAUCCGGAUCGGGGACAGUGCAUGGUAGGCAGUUUGACUGGGGCGGUCUCCUCCCAAAGGGUAACGGAGGAGUACGAAGGUACGCUAGGUACGGUCGGAAAUCGUGCUGAUAGUGCAAUGGCAUAAGCGUGCUUAACUGCGAGACCGACAAGUCGAGCAGGUGCGAAAGCAGGUCAUAGUGAUCCGGUGGUUCUGUAUGGAAGGGCCAUCGCUCAACGGAUAAAAGGUACUCUGGGGAUAACAGGCUGAUACCGCCCAAGAGUUCAUAUCGACGGCGGUGUUUGGCACCUCGAUGUCGGCUCAUCUCAUCCUGGGGCUGUAGCCGGUCCCAAGGGUAUGGCUGUUCGCCAUUUAAAGAGGUACGUGAGCUGGGUUUAAAACGUCGUGAGACAGUUUGGUCCCUAUCUGCCGUGGGCGUUGGAUAUUUGAAGGGGGCUGCUCCUAGUACGAGAGGACCGGAGUGGACGAACCUCUGGUGUACCGGUUGUGACGCCAGUCGCAUCGCCGGGUAGCUAUGUUCGGAAGAGAUAACCGCUGAAAGCAUCUAAGCGGGAAACUCGCCUUAAGAUGAGAUAUCCCUGGAGGCUUGACCUCCUUGAAGGGUCGUUCGAGACCAGGACGUUGAUAGGUCGGGUGUGUAAGCGCAGUAAUGCGUUCAGCUAACCGAUACUAAUUGCCCGUAAGGCUUGAUCCU